rnacentral:lncRNA from 1 species
UUCUGUGGUAUUUAUAUAGCAAUAGGACCAAGUUUUGGCAUUGAAUCCUGAUUGAUUUGAUAUGAAUGAUGAUUGAACAAAUUUGCAAGUGAAUGAAAAUUUUCCUUUUUGGUUUGAUUUGUUCUCAUCAACAACUAAUGUGAUUCAAUUUUGUUUAUGAGUAGGAUUUCAAUUUUCCAUUCCUGGAUUAAUAGCAUACGCGUACUCACUGCAUCCUU